rnacentral:rRNA from 1 species
AGCUAAUACCAGAUGCCCUCACCGGGCCGCAUGACUUGGUGAGGAAAUGGAUUCCGCUUCGGGAGGGUCUCGCGGCCUAUCAGCUUGUUGGUGAGGUAACGGCUCACCAAGGCUUCGACGGGUAGCUGGUCUGAGAGGAUGAUCAGCCACACUGGGACUGAGACACGGCCCAGACUCCUACGGGAGGCAGCAGUGGGGAAUCUUGCGCAAUGGGCGAAAGCCUGACGCAGCAACGCCGCGUGGGGGAUGAAGGCUCUCGGGUUGUAAACCCCUUUCAGCAGGGAAGAUUAUGACGGUACCUGCAGAAGAAGCCCCGGCCAACUACGUGCCAGCAGCCGCGGUAAUACGUAGGGGGCAAGCGUUGUCCGGAUUUAUUGGGCGUAAAGAGCUUGUAGGCGGCUUGGUAAGUCGAGUGUGAAAACUCCAGGCUCAACCUGGAGACGCCAUUCGAUACUGUCAUGGCUAGAGUCCGGUAGAGGAGCACGGAAUUCCUGGUGUAGCGGUGAAAUGCGCAGAUAUCAGGAGGAACACCAGCAGCGAAGGCGGUGCUCUGGGCCGGUACUGACGCUGAGAAGCGAAAGCGUGGGGAGCGAACAGGAUUAGAUACCCUGGUAGUCCACGCCGUAAACGUUGGGCACUAGGUGUGGGUCCCUAUCGACGGGAUCUGUGCCGUAGCUAACGCAUUAAGUGCCCCGCCUGG